AGUGUCUGCAUGCGCGGCGGCUUCCCCGCCCAACUCAACGAGUCUUCCAUUUCCUCCGGCGAACCCGCCCGGGGACGAUCGGCUGGCGUGCGGGACCCGCAUACCGCGGCUGGCGUCCGUCUGUCGGAGGAGAUCGGAAUGUGGGCAGGAAUUACCGCUCUUGCGAGGAAGCGAGCAGUGCUCCAAAGGAACGCGUAGGAUAAUCCGUGGCUGUGCCCCCGGUGAAGGUCGCACGGCUUCUUCCCCCGCCAGUGGCAAACAUUACCUUCGUUUAUUUCUUUA